UAGGGAAUAUUAGAAAUGGACGAAAGUCCGAUCUAGCAACACCGCGUGUGCGAAGAAGGCCUUCGGGUUGUAAAGCACUUUUUGGAAGGAUUAGGAAGGAAUGUACUUCCAGAAUAAGUCUCGGCUAACUACGUGCCAGCAGCCGCGGUAACACGUAGGAGGCAAACGUUAUCCGGAUUUACUGGGCGUAAAGCGCGUGUAGGUGGUUCUGUAAGUAGGGCGUGAAAGCUCCUGGCUCAACUGGGAGAGGCCGUUCUAAACUGCAGAGCUAGAGGAUGGUAGAGGGAGGUGGAAUUCCGGGUGUAGCGGUGGAAUGCGUAGAUAUCCGGAGGAACACCAGUGGCGAAAGCGGCCUUCUGGACCAAUUCUGACGCUCAGACGCGAAAGCUAGGGUAGCGAACG
rnacentral:rRNA from 1 species